UUGAUUCUCACUUUUUCUCCUUCAAAGCAACCACUUGUGCAGUAACAAUCCAAGCUUGGUCAUGGAACCAAAUAUAAACUGACCGGUGAAAAGACUGUUUUUAGAAAGAAAAAAGAAGAAGCUAACCAGUAACCACCCAUAGUUUUCUUAGAUCCACCAAUUGAUGACCCUUGAACACGAAUAUGCCUGCGCAUAUCUCCACUUCGCGGUAAUAAUAUGUGAUUCUCAAGAAAUCUGGAUCCAUAUUUUUCAAUCAGAAUCUAACAAAAAUGAAGAUACAUCACAUAAAUUCACUUAGCCCACAUACAUAAAAGACAUCUAAAAAAAAUAAGAUGAAACUGAUUGAAGGACAUAACGUUUGGAUAUACUCACU
rnacentral:lncRNA from 1 species